rnacentral:tRNA from 1 species
UGGAUCACCUCCUAACAGGGAGACAACAACUGACAUGGAUGCCUAGGCAAUUUUGAUCCCAGGCCCGUGUCCUGUCAUCUCGAAGGUCGAUCGGUACCUCAGGUUGAGCGUCACGCAUCAAGAGCAGGCCAGGUGACUGGUUUGAUUCUCGAUGGCUUGAUCAUCAAUUUUCAGUUCCUAAACUUUGUCUAGGUCACCCCAUAGGGAUAGCAGUGUCUUGCUUUGAGUGAGACGAAUCUGCUGUUACUGAGGCUGUUGCCAGUCAAACUGCUGUUUUGUUACGAGGCAGCUGUUGCCAAUGAAGCGGUAACAACUCCUGGGCCAUUAGCUCAGGUGGUUAGAGCGCACCCCUGAUAAGGGUGAGGUCCCUGGUUCAAGUCCAGGAUGGCCCAUUCGUGUUUGGGGGUUUAGCUCAGUUGGUAGAGCGCCUGCUUUGCAAGCAGGAUGUCAGCGGUUCGAGUCCGCUAACCUCCACUCAACGACGCCCCUCAGACAGGACCAAGGAGUCCUGUUGGGAUGAUCUAGAUCCGGUGCACGCUGAAACGGCAUCUUUUAUGAAUUCAGCCUCCAAUCAUUCCCACAAGGGUUGAAUGGAUGCUGAACUCAGCAUUUCGAAGUUAUCCGUCAGGAUGAUUCGAACUGUGUGUUCAGCGAGAACCUUGACAACUGCAUAGGUGAGUCUGGAAAGAAUGCAUCUCAUGGAUGCCUGAAGCCAGAACCAACGCAAUGGUUAAAAGCCAAUUGCGGAGGGACUGACUUUUGGUUUUUUCUAUGACGUUAAGAGCCGAGCACGGCAAUCGUCUUACCCCUCGCCGAGAGGAGGUGAGUCAGACCGAUCCUUUCAGGUUCUAGAGAUAGAAGUUGAAAGCUUGGAAAUGGAUCUCAACAAUCCAAACGGUUGAUCGUGAAUUGGUCAAGCUACAAAGGGCUCACGGUGGAUACCUUGGCACACAGAGGCGAUGAAGG